rnacentral:sRNA from 1 species
CUCUAGCCCCGAUAGCAGUGAAAAUCCUUUUUAUUUUUUUCUUUAAAAAAUAAAAAGAUUAUUUCACUUGACUUUCAUUUUAAGCGGAGUUCAAUGAACUUCGUUUGUAACGAAUAGCGGGAAAUAGC